rnacentral:rRNA from 1 species
CCCUUAGAUGUUCUGGGCCGCACGCGCGCUACACUGAUGCAUUCAACGAGUUUCUUCCUGGUCCGAGAGGAAUGGGUAACCUUUUGAAAGUGCAUCGUGAUAGGGAUAGACUAUUGCAAUUAUUGGUCUUCAACGAGGAAUUCCUAGUAGACGUAGUUCAUCAGACUGCAUCGAUUACGUCCCUGCCCUUUGUACACACCGCCCGUCGCUCCUACCGAUUGAAUGCUCAGGUGAGCCAUUCGGACUUUCAUCAUGCUGGUUUCCAGUUUUGAUGAAGGAAAGUCUUGCGAACCUUACCAUUUAGAGGAAGGUGAAGUCGUAACA